GAAGGCUUACUGCAAUGAGAGGUCCAAGCCCAAGCCCUAGAGAUAACAGGGACCUCCGUACCAGUCUUUUUGUUCGCCAACUAAGCCGUGAUUGCAGGGAAGAAGAUCUCAGGAAGUCAUUUAAACAGUUCGGUCCUCUCAAGGACAUUCACUUGCCAAGGGAUCAUCAUACGGGGUGAGAGCAUGUUUUCUACUGUUUUAUACGCUUGAUUUUUACUUUAUGAUCUAACUAGCUACUAGGGCCUUGCGAGAAUCUUCAUUUCAAGUCUUAAACCACUAGUUUUCUGUGUCAAUAAAAGAAAGAGCGUGGAUUAGUCCAUUUGGAAUUAGUACUUAUCUAGUCCUUGCUUUAGGACAAGGAUCCAAGUUAUGAUUUGUUAGAAGACGUCACAGGAGUCCAAGACCUAGGAGAAGAAGAAGGAGCAACACACCUCUACCAGCGAGCAGAAACAGGAGUCCAAGACCUAGGAGAAGGAGCAACACACCACUACCGGCGAGUAGAAACAGGAGUAGGAGCCCUACGAGAAGAAGAAGCAACACACCUUUACCAGCGAGAAGCCGCAGCCCACGUGAGGAGCGGUAGGAAGACAGUUCACCAAGCCAGUGAUUGAUUCUUCACUCUGUUAAUAGUCCUCUCUAGUCUUUAUGGUUGUCUCUUUUUUUUUCUUCCUUAUCCCAAGACAACGUUAUGAUGAUCUGAAAAGAUGAGAUGUAGUAGUGUCGAAUCUUGGCUUCAUGUGUUUUGAUGAUCCGUGUAGUAUUUUUUGUAGAACCU